AGCAGCCGCGGUAAUUCCAGCUCCAAUAGCGUAUAUUAAAGUUGCUGCAGUUAAAAAGCUCGUAGUUGAAUUUCGGGACUAAUAUGUCGGUCGUGCCUCGGUACGUACUGGCUUAUUGGUUUCUCCUUUCUGAAGAACCAUGAUGUCAUUUAUUUGGUGUCGUGGGGAAUCAGGACUGUUACUUUGAAAAAAUUAGAGUGUUUAAAGCAGGCUCACGCUUGAAUACAUUAGCAUGGAAUAAUGAAAUAGGACGUUUGAUUCUAUUUUGUUGGUUUCUAGGAUCGACGUAAUGAUUAAUAGGGAUAGUUGGGGGCAUUAGUAUUCAAUUGUCAGAGGUGAAAUUCUUGGAUUUAUUGAAGACUAACUACUGCGAAAGCAUUUGCCAAGGAUGUUUUCAUUAAUCAAGAACGAAAGUUAGGGGAUCGAAGACGAUCAGAUACCGUCGUAGUCUUAACCAUAAACUAUGCCGACUAGGGA
rnacentral:misc_RNA from 1 species